rnacentral:rRNA from 1 species
UCCAGGUUGAUCCUGCCAGAGGUUACUGCUAUCGGUGUUCGACUAAGCCAUGCGAGUCAUAUGUCCUUCGUGAACAUGGCGGACUGCUCAGUAACACGUGGAUAACCUGCCCUUAGGUUCGGCAUAACUCCGGGAAACUGGAGAUAAUUCCGAAUAGGUCACAUAUGCUGGAAUGCUUUUUGACCAAAAGACCUCGGUUGCCUAAGGAUGGAUCUGCGGUCUAUCAGGUAGUAGUGGGUGUAACGUACCUACUAGCCUACGACGGAUAUGGGUUGUGAGAGCAAGAGCCCAGAGAUGGAUUCUGAGACAUGAAUCCAGGCCCUACGGGGCGCAGCAGGCGCGAAAACUUUACAAUGCGGGAAACCGCGAUAAGGGGACACCGAGUGCCAGCAUUUAUGUUGGCUGUCCACAUGUGUAAACGGCAUGUGUUAGCAAGGGCCGGGCAAGACCGGUGCCAGCCGCCGCGGUAACACCGGCGGCCCGAGUGGUAAUCACUUUUAUUGGGUCUAAAGGGUCCGUAGCCGGUUUGAUCAGUUCUUCGGGAAAUCUGACAGCUCAACUGUUAGGCUUCCGGGGAAUACUGUCAGACUUGGGACCGGGAGAGGUAAGAGGUACUACAGGGGUAGGAGUGAAAUCUUGUAAUCCCUGUGGGA